rnacentral:misc_RNA from 1 species
GGAAGUAAAAGUUGUAACAAGGUUUCCGUAGGUGAACCUGCGGAAGGAUCAUUAAUGAGUUGUCAUGGGGUUCGAUGCUGGCAGCCAGUUUUUGGAUGCAUGUGCUUGCCCUAACAAUCAUCUUCUUCCAAACACCUGUGCACAUUUUUGAGGGAGUCUUGAGUUGGUUGCCGCUCUUGGGUGAUUUUCUCACAUUCCCUUAAAUCAUUAUACGCUAUUAACAAUGUUGAACGUGCUCUGUGCCGCAAGGCCAUUAAUAUAAUACAACUUUUAACAACGGAUCUCUUGGCUCUC